rnacentral:rRNA from 1 species
UUAAUUAUUAUAUUACUUUAAUAUUUAGUUUGGAUAUAGUUUAAUAGAAACAACUUAUAUAUUAGUAUUUUUUAUAGAAAUUAUUAUUAUUAGUUAUAGUUUAUAGUACUGUGAAGGAAUUUUUUUUAAUUAUUUUAAAGCAGACUUGAUUUGUCGUACCUUUUGUAUCAGGGUUUAUUAAUUUUAAGUUAAUUAUUAUUAACUUUCCCGAAAUUAGAAGAGAUAUGUUUAAAUUAAUGAAAGUUUACGUUAUAAAGUAAUUUUUAAUUGAAACAUAGAGGUUAUAUGCUAUUCAAUUUUAAAUAUCUGGUUGUCUAAUAAAUUAGUUUAAUUAAGGCCAUUAAUUAGUUAAUUUAAAAUUUAAUUUUUUUUAAUUUUAUUGGCUAAAAUGUUAGGGGAUAAGCUCUAAAUGUUUAUUUAUAACUCUUUCGCUUAUAAAGAUUUUGUAGGCUUGAUAACAGCCAUCAUUUAUUUCGUUAUAGUUAAUUCUUUAAUAAGUUUUAUUUAUGUUGAGUUUAAAAUUUUAUUAGACUGUUUUGUUUAAUUUUUUAAUAAAAGUAAUAAUGAUAGAAUUAGUAGUAUUAGAAUAUUUAAGUAUAGGAAUUCGGCAAAUUUAACUCUCGCCUGUUUAACAAAAACAUGUCCUUUAGAUUUAGUAUUAAUUAAAGGUCUGACCUGCCCAGUGAUUUCUUAAACGGCCGCAGUAUUCUGACUGUGCGAAGGUAGCAUAAUCAUUUGUCUCUUAAUUAGAGGCUUGUAUGAAUGGUUGGACGAGGGGUUAACUUUCUUUAUUUAAAUUUUAUGAAUUUGAUUUUUGAGUUAAAAAGCUUAAAUUUUUUUGCAAGACGAGAAGACCCUAUAGAAUUUUAUUGAUUUGAGUGACUUUAUUAUUUUGUAAUUAUAUUAAUGAAUUCUUUUAAAUUAAUUUUGUUGGGGCGACAGUGAAAAUUAAAUAACUUUCAUUAAUGAUUAUUCAUUAAUUAAUGUGUUUUUUGAUCCUUAAUUUUGGAUUAUAAGAUUAAAUUACCUUAGGGAUAACAGCGUAAUUUUUUCGGAGAGUUCUUAUCGAUGAAUAAAGUUUGCGACCUCGAUGUUGGAUUAAAGUAAGUUCUUGGUGUAGCAGCUAAUGAUACUAAGUCUGUUCGACUUUUAAAUCUUUACAUGAUCUGAGUUCAGACCGGCGUGAGCCAGGUUGGUUUCUAUCUGCAAUAUAGGUUUACAUCUUAGUACGAAAGGACCAGAUGUAAGUAAUAGUUAUAUAUUAUUUGAAUACUAUUA